rnacentral:rRNA from 1 species
AGAACGAACGCUGGCGGCAUGCCUAAUACAUGCAAGUCGAACGAACUCUUCGGAGUUAGUGGCGCACGGGUGCGUAACGCGUGGGAAUCUGCCCUUGGGUUCGGAAUAACAGUUGGAAACGACUGCUAAUACCGGAUGAUGACGAAAGUCCAAAGAUUUAUCGCCCAGGGAUGAGCCCGCGUAGGAUUAGCUAGUUGGUGAGGUAAAGGCUCACCAAGGCGACGAUCCUUAGCUGGUCUGAGAGGAUGAUCAGCCACACUGGGACUGAGACACGGCCCAGACUCCUACGGGAGCAGCAGUAGGGAAUAUGGACAAUGGGCGAAAGCCUGAUCCAGCAAUGCCGCGUGAGUGAUGAAGGCCUUAGGGUUGUAAAGCUUACUUUUACCGAGAUGAUAAUGACAGUAAGUACGGAAAAUAACGACCCCGGACUAACUCCGUGCCAGCAGCCGACGGU